GACGAACGAGGGAGGAGGGAGGAACAAAGGCAAGUCGAACGAAGAGCGAUGGAAGCUUGCUUCUAUCAAUCUUAGUGGCGAACGGGUGAGUAACGCGUAAUCAACCUGCCCUUCAGAGGGGGACAACAGUUGGAAACGACUGCUAAUACCGCAUACGAUCUGACCUCGGCAUCGAGGAUAGAUGAAAGGUGGCCUCUACAUGUAAGCUAUCACUGAAGGAGGGGAUUGCGUCUGAUUAGCUAGUUGGAGGGGGCACGGCCCACCAAGGCGAUGAUCAGUAGCCGGUCUGAGAGGAUGACACACCACAUUGGGACUGAGACACGGCCCAGACUCCUACGGGAGGCAGCAGUGGGGAAUCUUCCGCAAUGGACGAAAGUCUGACGGAGCAACGCCGCGUGAGUGAUGACGGCCUUCGGGUUGUAAAGCUCUGUUAAUCGGGACGAAAGGCCUUUUUGCGAAUAGUGAGAAGGAUUGACGGUACCGGAAUAGAAAGCCACGGCUAACUACGUG
rnacentral:rRNA from 1 species